ensembl:rRNA 5S_rRNA 5S ribosomal RNA
GCUUACGGCCAUACCAGCCCCAAGAACACCCGGUCUCGUCUGAUCUCGGAAGCUGAGAAGGCUUGGGCCUGGUUAGUACUUGGAUGGGAGACCUCCUGGGAAUAUCAGGUGCUGUAAGCU